AUGGCGUCGGUGGAGGUGCGGUCCGUGCGGAAGUCCGCGGCGUUGCGCCCGCGCGGGCCCGCCAAGGUGCAGCCCGCGCGGUCCAUGUCGCUCGACUACAAGUACUCCGCCGCGCGUGCUGGCGUCGAGCCCGGCCCGGCGCCCAACGGCGUAGGGCGCCGGGCUGCGGCGGACGAGGAAGGGGAUGCGGUGCCGCCCGAGGGAGACGCCGACUCUCCCUACAGCUCCAAGGCGACGACGACGGAGGAGGAGAGUGCUGGGGGUGGCGGGGAGGCCGAUUCAGCGUCCUCUGCAGCCGCGGCGCCGCGGAGUCCGUCGCCGGCGGCAGCUGCUGGCCCCUCACCGCGCGACACCAGAUGGGGUGACACCAGCUCCUACGGUGCUAAAAAGAAGCAUAGAGUUUUUUGCCAGCUUCCAAAUGGUGAUUGGGCCUUAUGCACCGUGAUUACUACCUCUGGUGACGAGUCUGUACUAAAGGUUCCUGAAGGAAAAGUUCUAAGAUUGAAAACGGAGAGCCUUCAACCUGCAAAUCCUGAAAUUCUUGAUGGAGUGGAUGAUCUUAUGCAGCUGAGUUAUCUAAGUGAACCAUCUGUGCUGUACAACUUGCAGUACAGAUAUUCACAAGACAUGAUUUAUACUAAAGCAGGUCCAGUUUUGGUGGCCGUCAACCCUUUUAAGAAGGUUGCACUGUAUGGUAAUGGGUAUAUUAAAGCAUAUAAAAACAAAACAAUGGACAGUCCACAUGUGUAUGCAAUAGCAGAUUCAGCGCUUCGUGAAAUGAAAAGAGAUGAAGUUAACCAGUCCAUUAUUAUAAGUGGUGAGAGUGGAGCAGGAAAAACAGAAACUGCAAAGAUUGCCAUGCAGUAUCUGGCUUCACUUGGAGGUGGAAGUGGCAUAGAGUAUGAGAUCCUACAGACUAACCCAAUACUCGAGGCUUUUGGCAAUGCAAAGACAUUAAGAAAUGAUAAUUCAAGUCGCUUCGGAAAGCUCAUCGAAAUUCAUUUCAGUACGACUGGAAGAAUAUGUGGUGCCAUGGUUCAAACAUUUCUACUCGAGAAGUCAAGGGUUGUACAGUGUGCAGUCGGUGAGCGUUCCUACCAUAUAUUUUAUCAGCUAUGUGCUGGUGCUCCAACGACACUCAGAGAGAAGUUGAAUUUGAAGAAGGUGGAUGAAUACAAAUAUCUGAAACAGAGUUGUUGCUAUUCAAUUGCUGGCGUGGAUGAUGCCGAAAUGUUUCGUGCUGUAACGGAAGCCAUGAACAUCGUCCAUAUCAGCCAGGAGGACCAAGAUAAUGUUUUCGCAAUGGUUUCAGCUGUGCUCUGGCUUGGAGAUGUCUCUUUCACAAUUAUUGAUAAUGAAAAUCAUGUUGAGAUCACUGUAGAAGAAGCUGCGGAAACGGUUUCACGACUUCUUGGCUGCAGUAUUGAAGAUCUCAAUUUAGCUUUGUCAAAGCGGCACAUGAAAGUUAAUAAUGAGAAUAUUGUCCAGAAGCUUACCCUUACACAGGCAACUGACACACGGGAUGCUCUGGCCAAAGCACUCUAUGCCAGUUUGUUCGAGUGGCUUGUAGAACAAAUUAACAAGUCCCUUUCAGUUGGCAAGCGUCGAACUGGGAGAUCAAUCAGUAUUCUUGACAUCUACGGCUUUGAAUCAUUUGAUAAAAACAGUUUUGAACAGUUCUGCAUUAAUUAUGCCAAUGAGAGGCUACAACAACAUUUCAACCGCCAUUUGUUUAAGCUUGAGCAAGAGGAAUAUGUUGAAGAUGGCAUUGACUGGGCUAAGGUUGAGUUUGAGGACAACCAGGAUUGCUUGAAUCUAUUUGAGAAAAAACCACUGGGGUUAUUGUCUCUGCUGGAUGAGGAAUCUACAUUCCCUAAUGCCACAGACCUUACUUUUGCAAACAAGCUGAAGCAACAUCUUGACACUAAUUCUUGCUUCAGAGGAGAAAGAGGCAAGGCUUUCACUGUCCGUCACUAUGCAGGAGAGGUGGCGUAUGACACAUCGGGUUUUCUGGAGAAGAACAGAGAUUUAUUGCACAUGGACUCGAUUCAGUUCCUUGCCAAAUGCAAAUUAUCUAUACCACAAACGUUUGCAUCUAAGAUGCUUGCUCAAUCUGAUAAUCUAGAAUCCGUACCAUACAGGCCUAGUGUUGCUGAUUCGCAGAAGUUAAGUGUAGCAAUGAAGUUUAAGGGACAAUUGUUCCAACUUAUGCAAAGACUUGAAAGCACAACACCACACUUCAUACGUUGUAUUAAACCAAAUAAUUUGCAACUCCCUGCCAUUUACGGACAAGAACUUGUGCUUCAACAACUGAAAUGCUGCGGGGUUCUUGAAGUUGUGCGCAUUUCAAGAUCUGGGUACCCAACGAGAAUGACUCAUCAGAAGUUUGCUCGGCGGUAUGGUUUUCUUCUUCUUGAGGAUGUUGCGUCUCAAGAUCCACUUAGUGUUUCGGUUGCAAUUCUUCAUCAAUUCAACAUUUUGCCUGAGAUGUAUCAAGUUGGCUACACAAAGUUAUUCUUCCGAACUGGUCAGAUUGGCAACCUUGAGAAUACUCGGAAUCGUACUCUGCAUGGUGUUUUAAGGGUUCAAAGUUGUUUCCGAGGGUAUCAAGCACGGCGCCAUGCAAGUGAACGAAUCAGAGGAGUUUUGGCUCUUCAAUCAUUCAUUCGUGCUGAGAAUGCAAGGCAAAGUUAUUCAUCUCUGUUGAGGAAACAUAGGGCAGCCACUCUUGUGCAGAAAAAUCUAAGAGGCUGGCGUGCAAGAAGAUACUUCAUCAAGAUACGGAAGGCUUCAGUGGUUAUACAAUCUGGUAUCCGCGGCUGCCUUGUUAGAAGAUGCGCCGGCAAUGUCGAUCUACUGAACGUGUUGAGAGAAUUCGAGUCGAAAAAGGAGGCAGACGGCGACCAAAUCUUGAUCAAGGCGUCUUUCCUGGCCGAGCUACAACGGCGAAUCCUUCGUGCCGAGGCGACAGUUCGAGAGAAGGACGAGGAGAACGAGAUGCUACACCAGCGGCUCCAGCAAUACGAGAACCGGUGGCUAGAAUACGAGCAGAAAAUGAAGGCGAUGGAGGAGAUGUGGCAGAAGCAGAUGCGGUCGCUGCAGUCGAGCCUGUCGGUGGCCAAGAAGAGCCUGGCCCUGGACGAGACGCCUCGGAUGUCCGACUCGUCCGUGGAGCAGAGCUGGGAGAGCAACGGGAACCACGUCGGUGGGGGCUCCUCCCAGCAGCUGGCGGCGGCGCCGCGGAUCACCGGGCGCGAGAUGAACGCCAGCAUGAGCGUCAUCGGGCGGUUGGCGGAGGAGCUUGAGCAGCGGAGCCAGGUGUUCGCCGACGACGCCAAGUUCCUGGUGGAGGUCAAGUCCGGGCAGGCGGACGCGAGCCUGAACCCGGACGUGGAGCUCCGCAGGCUGAAGCAGAACUUCGACUCGUGGAAGAAGGACUUCGGCUCCCGCAUCAGGGAGACCAAGGUGAUCCUGAACAAGCUCGCGAGCGGCGGCGGCGGCGGCGGCAACGAGUCCUCCCCCAACUCGGCCAAGCGGAAGUGGUGGGGCAGGCUCAACACCUCCAAGUUCUCGUGA
rnacentral:rRNA from 1 species